AGGCUACUCUCUCCGUUUCCGAAUUACUUGUUGCGGGUAUGGAUGUAUCUAGAUAUAUUUUAGUUCUAGAUACAUCCAUUUCUGCGACGAGUAAUUUGAAACGGAGGAGGUACAUA
rnacentral:pre_miRNA from 1 species